rnacentral:rRNA from 1 species
UACAGAGGUCCCAAGCGUUGUUCGGAUUCACUGGGCGUAAAGGGUGCGUAGGUGGUGAGGUAAGUCGGAUGUGAAAUCUCCGGGCUCAACCCGGAAAUGGCAUUGGAAACUACCUUGCUUGAGGGUUUGAGGGGGGAUUGGAAUACUUGGUGUAGCAGUGAAAUGCGUAGAUAUCAAGUGGAACACCAGUGGCGAAGGCGGCGACCUGGGUAGAUACUGACGCUGAGGUGCGAAAGCGUGGGGAGCAAACAGG